CAGUCGCCGCGGGAAUACGAAGGGGGCUAGCGUUGCUCGGAAUCACUGGGCGUAAAGGGUGCGUAGGCGGGUCUUUAAGUCAGAGGUGAAAUCCUGGAGCUCAACUCCAGAACUGCCUUUGAUACUGAGGAUCUUGAGUUCGGGAGAGGUGAGUGGAACUGCGAGUGUAGAGGUGAAAUUCGUAGAUAUUCGCAAGAACACCAGUGGCGAAGGCGGCUCACUGGCCCGAUACUGACGCUGAGGCACGAAAGCGUGGGGAGCAAACAGGAUUAGAUACCCGCGUAGUCCCUGUCUCUAAUAC
rnacentral:rRNA from 1 species